GGCCUAACACAUGCAAGUCGAGCGGCAGCACGGGUACUUGUACCUGGUGGCGAGCGGCGGACGGGUGAGUAAUGCCUAGGAAUCUGCCUGGUAGUGGGGGAUAACGCUCGGAAACGGACGCUAAUACCGCAUACGUCCUACGGGAGAAAGCAGGGGACCUUCGGGCCUUGCGCUAUCAGAUGAGCCUAGGUCGGAUUAGCUAGUUGGUGAGGUAAUGGCUCACCAAGGCGACGAUCCGUAACUGGUCUGAGAGGAUGAUCAGUCACACUGGAACUGAGACACGGUCCAGACUCCUACGGGAGGCAGCAGUGGGGAAUAUUGGACAAUGGGCGAAAGCCUGAUCCAGCCAUGCCGCGUGUGUGAAGAAGGUCUUCGGAUUGUAAAGCACUUUAAGUUGGGAGGAAGGGCAUUAACCUAAUACGUUGGUGUCUUGACGUUACCGACAGAAUAAGCACCGGCUAACUCUGUGCCAGCAGCCGCGGUAAUACAGAGGGUGCAAGCGUUAAUCGGAAUUACUGGGCGUAAAGCGCGCGUAGGUGGUUUGUUAAGUUGGAUGUGAAAUCCCCGGGCUCAACCUGGGAACUGCAUUCAAAACUGACAAGCUAGAGUAUGGUAGAGGGUGGUGGAAUUUCCUGUGUAGCGGUGAAAUGCGUAGAUAUAGGAAGGAACACCAGUGGCGAAGGCGACCACCUGGACUGAUACUGACACUGAGGUGCGAAAGCGUGGGGAGCAAACAGGAUUAGAUACCCUGGUAGUCCACGCCGUANACGAUGUCAACUAGCCGUUGGGAGCCUUGAGCUCUUAGUGGCGCAGCUAACGCAUUAAGUUGACCGCCUGGGGAGUACGGCCGCAAGGUUAAAACUCCAA
rnacentral:rRNA from 1 species